ACCUGGCUAUCAUUGCGCAUUUUAUUAUUAAUGGGACAUCCUGAACACUGUAUUUUUAACGAGCUACCUCAUGUGGUUAACAGUAGUUAGCUCGCCAACAUCAACUUAAACCGUCGUCCUGUCAACUAUUCCUGAUCACCGACCAUCUUCAGGCAAGGGAGUGACCCUCCUGGACACACCUAGGAGAAGAGAAGCAGUCAACGCUGGUGGCAGGGAGAGCAGACAAGAUGGAACCUAAGCAGCAGAAGAAAAACACCUUUCAGUACCUCUGAAUUCCUCCAGUGUUUCAUUACAUCUUUACACUGUCUGCCUAAAAACCCACUCAAACAUUUCUGUAUAUGAUCUGCCUAUUGGGUAAAAUUGAACCCAAGAGCUACAGAAAUAUAGGGUUCUAAGUAAAUAUGCUUUUGAAUUUUCAAGUCAGUCUGUGAUAGCAUUUAAAAUAAAUAAAAAUG